CAGUGACUACUUAGGAUAAGGACUCAGACACACAAGUGGAGAAGAUAAAUAGUAAUUUGGAACCAAAACUCAGGACGUCCCAGGAGAGGCUAGAUUAGGAAUUCUUUGAUUUGGGAUCACGAAAAUGAAGUAUCCAUAUUUUAACAGAAUGAUUAGUGGCAGAGGAAUCAUCUAAGAAAACUGAGAAGACUCUGCCAGAGUGAUGGGAAGAAAACUAGAUGAGAAAGCACCAUUCUGGAAGACAUGCUCCCAUGAACCAUGGAGAGAAGAGGAGAGGGAAGAAGUUAUUUGUGAUGUCAUUUGCCUGUGUCAUGGCCUGCCUUCCCUAGAUAUUGUCCUAAUGUGAGCAUCACACCUAAGGUACUGAAGUAGAGUUCUGGCUGUUCCUUACGGACAUCUCUGGUGGAUCUGAAAAUAUCAUUUUCAUCAAGCCUCAAGGACACUUUUUUUCCUGUGAUGUCUCUUUCGAAAUCUAAAUCCUCUGGACAUAUAGCGAAGCAAAAUUCUCUUUUAGGUAUGAUACACAACACAAGUAUAAGGAUAUAGUCAAUAAUAACUCUGGGAGUAAGAACACAUUAUGAACAGUGAAGACAUUGACAAACCUCCGGGACCUUUGAUUUGUGCUAUAAAGUAUACUAUGAUCAGCCCUGAUUAACCCAAGAGAAAAUUCAGUGUGAAGAUGAUGGAGUGACACAAUAGAAGGAACCUGAAUCACUGAAUCAUCACUUGGAAGAAAGCAGCCCAGACUAGUUACCCAACUCCCAUCAGACAGUGACCAGAGUGAGAA
ensembl:lncRNA CCDC54-AS1 CCDC54 antisense RNA 1